rnacentral:rRNA from 1 species
AACGAACGAUGGCGGCAGGCUUAACACAUGCAAGUCGAACGCAUCCUUCGGGGUGAGUGGCAGACGGGUGAGUAACGCGUGGGAACGUGCCCUUCAGUUCGGGAUAACCCAGGGCAACUUGGGCUAAUACCGGAUACGUGCGAGAGCAGAAAGAUUUAUCGCUGAAGGAUCGGCCCGCGUCUGAUUAGCUAGUUGGUGGGGUAAUGGCCCACCAAGGCGACGAUCAGUAGAUGGUCUGAGAGGAUGAUCAGCCACAUUGGGACUGAGACACGGCCCAAACUCCUACGGGAGGCAGCAGUGGGGAGUAUUGGACAAUGGGCGCGAGCCUGAUCCAGCCAUGCCGCGUGAGUGAUGAAGGCCUUAGGGUUGUAAAGCUCUUUCGUCCGGGACGAUAAUGACGGUACCGGAAGAAGAAGCCCCGGCUAACUUCGUGCCAGCAGCCGCGGUAA